rnacentral:lncRNA from 1 species
GACGAUUUUUUUUUUAUAGCUAAUGUAGUUUUUUUUUAGCGACGAAGCACUGAAUCGUCUUUGUAUACUUUUAGCGACCCACUUUUGGAGACGAUUAAUUGACAAAAAAAAUUUCGUCACGCUAAAUCUUUUGUGACAACAUAUGUCUUAUAAGUGACAAAAUCAUUCAUCCCUGAUAAUUAAAUUUGUUGUAGUGAGAAAUGACUAAGUCCUAACACUUAGUAAAAUAUUCUAAGUCCUGCACCCCUUUCUUCAUGCAAGAAUGAG